rnacentral:rRNA from 1 species
UACGGGGGGGGCAAGCGUUGUUCGGAAUUACUGGGCGUAAAAGGGCUCGUAGGCGGCCAACUAAGUCAGACGUUGAAAUCCCUCGGCUUAACCGGGGAACUGCGUCUGAUACUGGAUGGCUUGAGAUUGGGAGAGGGAUGCGGAAUUCCAGGUGUAGCGGUGAAAUGACGUAGAUAUCUGGAGGAACACCGGUGGCGAAGGCGGCAUCCUGGACCAACACUGACGCUGAGGAGCGAAAGCCAGGGGAGCAAACAGGG